CCUACGGGGGGCAGCAGUAGGGAAUAUUGCUCAAUGGGGGAAACCCUGAAGCAGCAACGCCGCGUGGAGGAUGAAGGUUUUAGGAUUGUAAACUCCUUUUGUGAGAGAAGAUAAUGACGGUAUCUCUCGAAUAAGCACCGGCUAACUCCGUGCCAGCAGCCGCGGUAAUAUGGAGGGUGCAAGCGUUACCCGGAGUCACUGGGCGUAAAGAGUGCGAAGGGGGGCUUGUAAGUGAGAUGUGAAAUCCUGUAGCUUAACUACAGAACUGCAUUUGAAACUGUGAGUCUAGAGUGUGGGAGAGGUAGGUGGAAUGCUUGGUGUAGCGGUAAAAUCCGUAGAUAUCAAGAAGAAUACUGAUUGCGAAGGC
rnacentral:rRNA from 1 species